GCCGAGUUGGGUAGCGCCAACUUGUGACCUAAGUGGGGGCACCAAGGUGAUGGAACACAACUUUGGCUUGUCAAGUUGAGUUGGNNNNCAGCGUGAGGCUGGACUCACAGAGCAGCGAGCACCUCCAGCUCUUGACAGUGGAGGGAUCACAGGCUGCUGUACUACCAGCUCACAAAGCCUAGUGAGCCGUUCAUGUUGGACCAUCAUUUUU
rnacentral:SRP_RNA from 1 species